rnacentral:rRNA from 1 species
AUAUCYGACCUCAGAUAGGCGAGAUUACCCGCU